rnacentral:tRNA from 1 species
GCAAUGGUGAUCAGUGGUAGAAUUCUUGCCUUCCAUCUUGGAGGCCUGGGUUCGAUUCCCAGCCAAUGCA